AUUGAACGCUGGCGGCAGGCCUAACACAUGCAAGUCGAACGGUAACAGGAAGAAGCUUGCUUCUUUGCUGACGCGUGGCGGACGGGUGAGUAAUGUCUGGGAAACUGCCUGAUGGAGGGGGAUAACUACUGGAAACGGUAGCUAAUACCGCAUAACGUCGCAAAACCAAAGAGGGGGACCUUCGGGCCUCUUGCCAUCGGAUGUGCCCAGAUGGGAUUAGCUAGUAGGUGGGGUAACGGCUCACCUAGGCGACGAUCCCUAGCUGGUCUGAGAGGAUGACCAGCCACACUGGAACUGAGACACGGUCCAGACUCCUACGGGAGGCAGCAGUGGGGAAUAUUGCACAAUGGGCGAAAGCCUGAUGCAGCCAUGCCGCGUGUAUGAAGAAGGCCUUCGGGUUGUAAAGUACUUUCAGCGGGGAGGAAGGGAGUAAAGUUAAUACCUGUGCUCAUUGACGUUACCCGCAGAAGAAGCACCGGCUAACUACGUG
rnacentral:rRNA from 1 species